CGUCCGAAAAUACUUGUCAUCAAAAUGGAUAAAAAGAGAUGUAUCUAAAACUAAAAUACGUCUAGAUACAUUUCCUUUUAUCCAUUUUGAUGACAAGUAUUUCUGGACG
rnacentral:pre_miRNA from 1 species